rnacentral:rRNA from 1 species
GAUGAACGCUGGCGGCGUGCCUAAUACAUGCCAGUCGAGCGAACAGACGAGGAGCUUGCUCCUCUGACGUUAGCGGCGGACGGGUGAGUAACACGUGGAUAACCUACCUAUAAGACUGGGAUAACUUCGGGAAACCGGAGCUAAUACCGGAUAAUAUAUUGAACCGCAUGGUUCAAUAGUGAAAGACGGUUUUGCUGUCACUUAUAGAUGGAUCCGCGCCGCAUUAGCUAGUUGGUAAGGUAACGGCUUACCAAGGCAACGAUGCGUAGCCGACCUGAGAGGGUGAUCGGCCACACUGGAACUGAGACACGGUCCAGACUCCUACGGGAGGCAGCAGUAGGGAAUCUUCCGCAAUGGGCGAAAGCUUGACGGAGCAACGCCGCGUGAGUGAUGAAGGUCUUCGGAUCGUAAAACUCUGUUAUUAGGGAAGAACAAAUGUGUAAGUAACUAUGCACGUCUUGACGGUACCUAAUCAGAAAGCCACGGCUAACUACGG